rnacentral:rRNA from 1 species
UACGUAGGCAGCGAGCGUUGUUCGGAGUUACUGGGCGUAAAGAGUAUGUAGGCGGUUCUGCAAGUUUGGUGUGAAAUCUCCCGGCUCAACUGGGAGGGUGCGCCGAAAACUGCAGGGCUAGAGUGCGGGAGAGGAAAGCGGAAUUCCUGGUGUAGCGGUGAAAUGCGUAGAUAUCAGGAGGAACACCGGUGGUGUAGACGGCUUACUGGACCAUAACUGACGCUGAGACACGAAAGCGUGGGUAGCAAACAGG